rnacentral:rRNA from 1 species
AGUUUGAUCCUGGCUCAGGAUGAACGCUAGCUACAGGCUUAACACAUGCAAGUCGAGGGGCAGCAUGGUCUUAGCUUGCUAAGACUGAUGGCGACCGGCGCACGGGUGAGUAACACGUAUCCAACCUGCCGUCUACUCUUGGACAGCCUUCUGAAAGGAAGAUUAAUACAAGAUGGCAUCAUGAGUCCGCAUGUUCACAUGAUUAAAGGUAUUCCGGUAGACGAUGGGGAUGCGUUCCAUUAGAUAGUAGGCGGGGUAACGGCCCACCUAGUCUUCGAUGGAUAGGGGUUCUGAGAGGAAGGUCCCCCACAUUGGAACUGAGGCACGGUCCAAACUCCUACGGGAGGCAGCAGUGAGGAAUAUUGGUCAAUGGGCGAGAGCCUGAACCAGCCAAGUAGCGUGAAGGAUGACUGCCCUAUGGGUUGUAAACUUCUUUUAUAAAGGAAUAAAGUCGGGUAUGUAUACCCGUUUGCAUGUACUUUAUGAAUAAGGAUCGGCUAACUCCGUGCCAGCAGCCGCGGUAAUACGGAGGAUCCGAGCGUUAUCCGGAUUUAUUGGGUUUAAAGGGAGCGUAGAUGGAUGUCUAAGUCAGUUGUGAAAGUUUGCGGCUCAACCGUAAAAUUGCAGUUGAUACUGGAUAUCUUGAGUGCAGUUGAGGCAGGCGGAAUUCGUGGUGUAGCGGUGAAAUGCUUAGAUAUCACGAAGAACUCCGAUUGCGAAGGCAGCCUGCUAAGCUGCAACUGACAUUGAGGCUCGAAAGUGUGGGUAUCAAACAGGAUUAGAUACCCUGGUAGUCCACACGGUAAACGAUGAAUACUCGCUGUUUGCGAUAUACUGCAAGCGGCCAAGCGAAAGCGUUAAGUAUUCCACCUGGGGAGUACGCCGGCAACGGUGAAACUCAAAGGAAUUGACGGGGGCCCGCACAAGCGGAGGAACAUGUGGUUUAAUUCGAUGAUACGCGAGGAACCUUACCCGGGCUUAAAUUGCAGAUGAAUUACGGUGAAAGCCGUAAGCCGCAAGGCAUCUGUGAAGGUGCUGCAUGGUUGUCGUCAGCUCGUGCCGUGAGGUGUCGGCUUAAGUGCCAUAACGAGCGCAACCCUUGUUGUCAGUUACUAACAGGUUCCGCUGAGGACUCUGACAAGACUGCCAUCGUAAGAUGUGAGGAAGGUGG